GAAUUUCCUUUUGGGCUAGUUGAUUUCGGUCUUCUUUCUCUGAUAUUUAUCUAUCAAACACUAUGGCUAUAGAAACAGGAGAAUUCUGGAGAAUUAUGAUGACAUCUCAGCAAAGAUGAUAUGAGGAAACAGAAGAUGAUUCGUCAUGAAAUUGAAAAUAUACAAUAAUAUUUUAUAUGUGAGGCUUUGUUUACGAAAAGAAAACAAUUUUACACAAUAAGACAACAAAAUGAUGGAAAGUACAUCCUGACAUUGUCUAUGUGUAUAAAUACAAAAAGAUGUAGAUGUAACUUUUAGAAAUAUAUGUUUCUCGAAACAUGCAAGUACUACAUGUAUGCAUGAUAUAUUUCUAAAAUAAUUGUUUCUAGGUAAAAUCUGAUAUCCAAGAAUUUUAGUCUGCCCUACAACUUAUUUCUUUAUGAAGAAUCGUUAUUUCCAAUUUUAUUAUCUUUACUAGAUUAUGUUAGACAGAACAAGAAAUAAAUAUAACGGUUAUCGAUAAGAUGGUAAUCAGAAAUACGUUCGUUGAACUUUUAACAAUUUCAAUCAGUUAAUAACCGUAACCAAUCUAUUUUCCAAUAUAAUACUCUAUUUUCUGCAAAUUUUUAAAAGACGAUCAUAGUACAUAAUAGAUUAUUUCACGAAUGAUAACUAUAGAAUUGGAAACGGAAAGAUAAUAAUAUUGUAAGAUAUUUGGGAACUGUAUUUUGUUGAAAUGAGGCUAAUCUAAGUGGAUCGAUUAUUUGAAUGAUAAUGCGAAUGCAGUGUACAGUGAAAUCGUAAUACUCGAUUACACGAGACGUUUUAUAAAUGAGCUCGAGGUAUGUGUGACACGUGUUUCGAGGGUGUAACCACGGGACGUAUUAUAAUGUUUCUUGGAAGCUGGCCAGAAUGCAGGUAUUCAUGCUGGCGUCGGUUGCCAAGAGCGCAGAAACGUCUAAACGUUUCCUCUGUAAUCUAUACUUUUUCUCCUGGAUACCGUAGUCGUUCGAAUAUUCAAUUGGAGCACCAUCGUUGUUGGAACGAUCGAAAUACUUCGAGGAAUCUUGUGCAACAUUACGUAGUCAAAAGCAGAUUGCGAAAUGGUCAACAACGUAUAACUUGACUCGUUGCUGUUUCCACCCUCGAACAUUCUCAUCUAUUUUGAUUGUACGAGAAAUAAAAUUAUCGUCGAAAUAUCAAACUUCUUCAGAAUUUUAUUUUCACUGCUGAAUAUAGUGAAAAAUAUAGUUAUGCUUAUGAGAAGUUUGAUAAAAAAGUGGAUUUUUUUUGAUUGUAUAAUAAAUUACUAAAGGGAUAAAUGUACAAAAUGCGACCACAAAUGUAAAAGUGAAUAGCAAACAAAGUCUUAUACUAAAUUACAUCAAACAUGUAGAAUCAAACUUUUCUUCUGAGACUUAAUUGCGAAGAAAAUCGAUUUUAAAAAUUCGUUACGUACGUAGUAUACAAAGAUGUAAUUCUUACAAUUUUUCUUCGUACUUUUUAAUCCAAUAAUUCGUACCAUUCGCGCAGACAUUCUUCUACGUGGAUUUUGUAAAAAAAAAGCUGAGUCUCAGACAAAACAAAUUGUAUUUUCUAUACCAUCGAUCUAUAUCUGCACAAAGAAUCACCUGCUUGUUUGUCUAAUAUUUUCAGUCGCGCUUAUGCUUGAAGCAAGGACGGAGAACAGAGAAUAUCAGUUUUUCGCGAGUACUUUUUUUCGCGGCCGAAAUCCGCUUGGCGUACAUACGUUAUUCAAAUUGGUAUUCGCGCAUGCGUUCCACUUUCGAAAUCGCCGCAGCCAAAUGUACGCGUAGUCGAUUUUCCCUCUUUCUGCCCGUAAAAUCUUUUUCUCGCUUGUGCAGCACAAACUGAGUCACAACUAUGAAGCUUUCGUUCCAUCCACAACGCUCAUUGGUAUGCGAGUACACGGUUUCUCCGCGAGACCGGCGGGAACAUACAUAUCUCGACUAGGCGGCUGCAAAACGGCGUAUAUACACUCGCGACGCUGACGACUCGACUCUACCGAACUGUUUGGCCGAGUAUGUGCCAGAUACGCUAUUAUAUUGUGCCGCUAGUGGCUCACGUUCUCCGAUAAGAUAUGCUGACAUUUUCUUCAAACGAUAUGACGUCUUAACUUGAUAGAAAUAAGAUUAUGGUUACGGUGGAUGCGUAUUCUGGUGAAUCAUCGUGUUGAUGGAUACACUGGCGCACGAAAGUAUUUGAAUUAAAAAGUGAGAAUUUGAAAGUAAUGGAAUUUUAUUAGCGCUGCAAUCAUAUGCAAUUGUCGUGAUUAUAUUAGUAAAAUUUGAAACAAAUCUGCAAAUGUAUACAAAAUAUCGUAUUUAUCGCAAACAUGUAUUUAAUGCGUUUCAUGUUAGUAAAAAAUUAGU